rnacentral:rRNA from 1 species
UACAGAGGUCUCAAGCGUUGUUCGGAUUCAUUGGGCGUAAAGGGUGCGUAGGUGGCGCUGUAAGUCGGGUGUGAAAUUUCGGAGCUUAACUCCGAAACUGCAUUCGAUACUGCGGUGCUUGAGGACUGGAGAGGAGACUGGAAUUCAUGGUGUAGCGGUGAAAUGCGCAGAUAUCAGGAGGAACACCGGUGGCGAAGGCGGGACUCUGGGCCGAUACUGACGCUGAGGAGCGAAAGCGUGGGGAGCGAACAGG